AGUUCAACGUGUGCUCUUCAGCUCUGGCCUCCGCUAGGAGACCUCCACAGCUGUGGCUGAGUCUACUUCCUGUGUCAUGACCUCAGGAAAUAAAUUUCCUUGACUUUA